GCGCCUAGUCAGACUGCACGCGCGGACAGCCACAGAGGAGGGACCAAAAAUCUGAGACGGGUGUGGCUAGAGAGUCAUACUUGGAAGUAAGGCGGCGGUGGGAUUGAGCCUCCCACAGCUUGGACAGACUCAAAGGAGGACACCAAGUAAAGAGAAGCAAAGUGAUUCGCCUAAUGCCGCACGGCAAGUUAAGCGGCUGGGCCUGAACCCCAGGUCUGUGACCUCAGAGCCCAUAGGCUGGCCUGGAGGCAGUGGCCCUGCCCUUAACUCCCUGCCGGCCACCCCUCAGCUUCAGCUUGGCUCCUGUAAAAGCGGACCCGCUCUGUGCCUAGCAUCCCCUGGAAGCAGUUGGUACCAGUCCUCUAUCUCCUUAACAGUGACCACAGCUAACAUUCAGCCAAGGGGAACUCUGGGUGAGGGACAAAACCCAGCUCAGGCACCUGCCUCCUACCAACGGGAUCAGUGCUGCCUCCCCAGCACCCUAUUCCAAGCACCAAAAAGCCUGCUCCACCCCAGGCAUCCUGCCCAGCUCUUUGUAAGCAGCAAUUCAUUUACUCUCCACCAGCCCAUUUCACAGAUGGAAAAGCAGAGGUACAAAGGGUGCAGCAUCUUGCCCAAGACUGCAUAGCCAGAAAGAGGGGAACAUUGAGAUUCGAACCCAGGGUCUGGCUCCAAAGUCUGUGCCUUUAACUCCUACACCACACUGCCUCCUGAGCCCAGGUACCCUCCCAGUAUCUGCCAGCACCUGCCAGCACCUCCCAGGACCCUGGGUCUCAUUCCCUUGGCUUCUCAGCCUGGCCAAGCAUCGGGUUAGACAGGCUGAUCUCUUACCCCUAAGCCUCCAGACACCUCGAGAGCUCCCAGUCCGUCUGCUCAGCCUCAGCCCCAGGCUGGGGGGGAAAAGGAAUGGGGAGGGGGAGGAGGGAGAGACCCCAGCCAUUGGCUGCUGAGGCAUGACAUCACCAGGGAGUGGGUGGUGGGGAAACAAACAUCCCUGCGCCCCCCCCCCCCCCCACCAGCUACAUCCACAGGCAAGGGGGUGGGGAGCCAUAAGACGGCUCAGACAGGCUGUGCGCCCUGGACUGGGCUGAGACCUUCACCAGGAGCCUUGUUCCAGGGACUUGGACGUUGCUCCCGCCACUCGGAGGCUGAUCACCCGACAGGCAUUAUUUCCUGGUUCCAGACCCGGGCAUGGCCCCACUGGUUCCAGGGGCCCCUAAAAUAAACUCCUACUCCUUCUCCCGGUCAGUUUGGGUUCAGAUCCCAGUCUAGUCACCUCCUGGCUGUGCCACGGCAUCUUUCUGGGCCCCCUUUUCCUUGUCUCUAAAACAGGGGUGAUAAAAAGCGCCCAC